rnacentral:tRNA from 1 species
UAGCUCAGUUGGUAGAGUACUUGCCUAGCAUGCUUGAAGCCCUGGGUUCGAUUCCCAG